CAGUCGCCACGGUAAUACGGAGGGAGCUAGCGUUGUUCGGAAUUACUGGGCGUAAAGCGCGCGUAGGCGGUUACUCAAGUCAGAGGUGAAAGCCCGGGGCUCAACCCCGGAACUGCCUUUGAAACUAGGUGACUAGAAUCUUGGAGAGGUCAGUGGAAUUCCGAGUGUAGAGGUGAAAUUCGUAGAUAUUCGGAAGAACACCAGUGGCGAAGGCGACUGACUGGACAAGUAUUGACGCUGAGGUGCGAAAGCGUGGGGAGCAAACAGGAUUAGAUACCCGAGUAGUCCCUGUCUCUUAUAA
rnacentral:rRNA from 1 species